rnacentral:lncRNA from 1 species
AUGGUGUUGUAAACCACCAAUUUAUUUUAGUUAUUAUAUGUGGGUAUAAUUUAUCUAAAAAUGGCAUUCCUAAAAGCAUAUCUUUUGAUGUUAGUUCAUAAUUAUAGAUUUCUUCUAUUGUUAUUAUUUUAUCGCAUAUCUGUAUUUUUAUAUUUUUAGCUUUAUUUGUAACUAAGCUUCCUUCAUUAUUAAAUCCUUUGACUACUAUUAGUGUUUUUAAUUUAUCCCAUUUAUUUUCUGGUAAACAGUUGUAUCUAUAUAAGUUUGCUUCUGCUCCUGUAUCUAUCAUGGUGUAUAAUACCUAUUAUAAUAUCCUUCUACUAUUAUUUUUACAAGUACAUAUAUUUUCAUAUCAUGUUAAAGCUCUUUUUAUGAAUAAUCUUUCUUUAUUAUAUGUUAUAGAUAAUUAUGUAUGUUAUAUAUUGUAUGGUUUUACUUGUUCUAACCAUUUUAUUCCUACUAUUAUGUCUGCUUUUUUGCAUUUCUUCCGUUAUUUCAAAUUCUAUUUUUAUUUUUUUGACUCCUAUUAUUAUUUUUUUUGUCAUAUCUUUAAUGUUUAUUAGACUCCUUGGUAGAUCUGGACAUAUAUCACUAUUAGAUUUUAUUUCUUCACUUUUUACUAGAUAUUUUGCUAUAUAAUUUUCUUCUUGUCCUGUGUUUAAGAGUAUUGAAUAUUCUUUUUUAUUUAUUGUUCCUGUUAUGUAAUAUUGAUUUAAAUUAGGCAUAAUACAUAAAUAUGACCCUAAACUUGAUAUCAAAUUUUAACUUUGACCUAAAACUUUGAUAGUGUACAAAUAGAACCUUUAACUAUUCUAAACCUGAACAAAUAUGACAUCCGAUUUUUCAACCCCCAUGCGUGAGUUUCACUCGCGCCUACGUGGAAAGCUCAUCCAAUCACACGGUGUCACAUCGUUAAAAGGGCUGACUUGGAGGAAGGUCAUAUUUGUGCAGUUUUGAAUAGUUAAAGGUCAUAUUUGUGCACGAUCAAAGUUUUGCUUUUUGUGUUAAAACGGCGU